CUCUGGGUUGAAAUAACAUUCAGGGCGGAAGGAG
rfam:Haloplasma contractile SSD-17B Contig4, whole genome shotgun sequence.